GAAAUGCGAUAAGUAAUGUGAAUUGCAGAAUUCCGUGAAUCAUCGAAUCUUUGAACGCACAUUGCGCCCUCUGGCAUUCCGGGGGGCAUGCCUGUCCGAGCGUCAUUACGCACCCUCAAGCCCGGCUUGUGUGAUGGGCCCCGAAAACCAGUGGCGGGCUCGCUGUCACACCGGGCGUAGUAGAUUUUUCGUCUCGCCCAGGGCGUGCUGCGGGUUCCGGCCGUUAAAAAGCCUCUCUUUUAACCCAAGGUUGACCUCGGAUCAGGUAGGAAGACCCGCUGAACUUAAGC
rnacentral:misc_RNA from 1 species